AAGAACAACAAAACCCCAUUUUCAGAACAAUUAAAAACCCUAAUUAAUUUACCCAUAAAUCGAAUCUGAAGGAGGAAGAGGAGAUUACACUAGAAUGUCAAGUAUACCAGAAGAGAUCUACCUCGACAUUCCAUCGAGAGUACCAGUGAAAUCGAUAUUUGUAUGUAAGUGUGUUUGCUAAUCUUGGUUUUCGUUAAUCUCUGAUCCUGAUUUUGUUCAAUCCCACCUGAAUCUUUCCGUCCAAAGAAAAAGACCUAAUUUCAUGCUUAAAUGGUUUGACGAGACUAAAAUUGGUAACUCUGAGGCAAUCUAUUCCAUAUCUCAUGAUUCAUUGAAAUCAUUACUGUCUACAGAUAGAUUUAUAGAUUAUGCAGCAGAAAUAGAUUAUCCAUUCGAUUCCAAAGUCUAUUCAGUUGAUCUAUUGGGGUUCUGUAAUGGUUUAGUUUUCCUAUGGUUCAACUUUGGUGAUAGGAUUUUGUUAUGUCUUUGGAAUCCAGCCACUAAAGAGUAUAAAGAAAUACCCAAAUCACCAGAUGAUGACGACAUGAGUGAAAUCAGUAUGGUCGCAUUUGGUUAUGAUUGUAAGAGUGAUGAUUACAAAAUACUAGCUCGUUAUGAUAAUUUAGUACAAGUCUAUUCGUUACGAUUAAAUUUGUGGAGAAGAAUUGGAAAUGUGGAGUAUCGCAGUACUUGUACUCGAGAAGGGGUGCUUGUUAAUGGGAAGUUUCAUUGGUUAGCUGAAUCUCAAGACUCUUCACAUAGUGUAGUUUCUUUAGACAUCAGCGAGGAGAUAUUCAAUGAAAUGCAACUACCAAAUGAACCUUUGGUGAACGAGCACCGGUUUAUGACACUAGGGGUGUUUGAAGGGUGCCUAUGUGUCCUUGUUGGUGUUAUAAGUGUUUGUGCUGAAGUAUGGCUAUGGAGUUCGGGAAUCAUGGACUAAGCGCUAUGUUACUAACCAUCAGGGGUUUGUGAAUGACUAUUUAUUGAGGCUUCUGUGGUCUUUUAAGAGCGGGGAAAUUCUAUUCGGGAUUUAUUUUUGUGGUGCUCUAGUUUUAUAUGACCCUAAAGAUGAAAGUGUUAGAGAACCCAACAUUUUGAGGGUAACCCACUUGUAUCAAUAUGGGUUUUAUUUUGAAAGCUUAGUUUCACUGAACCCCAAUACCUAUGAGGGAAGAAGGAUGAGAGGAGUUAAACAGAAACAUGAAGAAGAACAACAGGAACCUGCCCUGGGAGGCUGAGAGAGGAUCGCUGGACUUGAGGCGAUCAGCUCAAAUAUUUUAUGGUACUGCAGGAACCUGCCCUGGGAGGCUGAGAGAGGAUCGCUGGACUUGAGGCGAUCAGAUGGGAUGAAGAACUUGUUACAGGAGAAUGCACUGUUUUGUGGGAUAUUAAAUGUGCAACAUGUUUCUAGUGCCCAUCAUUCUACUAAACUUGAAGAGAUUUGCAAUAUAUCUUGAUAAGAGAAGUACUUGCCUCUCGAUACCUAAAGUUAUUUCUCAAAACUGCAUGAUCAAAGGCUGGUCCUAUUUGAAGGAGUUUGGGUGGUUGGGUUGAUGUUGUUUGUGGCUAUACCAUUUCCUGGAAUCGUGGGGCUUAAAUCCUGCUACAAAAUCCAUGACAGAGCCUCAUUACAUUCACCAGCAAAACUAAUUUUUUCCCUAAUCAUUGUUUAUCAUACUUUAACAUCACAUUUUUUUGGUACAUCCCUAAACUUGUGGCUGCAAUGGCUUCUGAAGGAAAACGAGAAUCCAUGAACAUAAGCAACUUCGCAUACCAGUACGCAUUGUUAAUGCCAUCUGAAUGAAGUUCGCUCCGUAAGAAGUGUGCUUACUGCACUAAGUCAAGUCAUGAUUAAGAGCAGCAGAAAGGGUAUUUGCUUCACUCAUAGUACUUCGGAGGAGAUCAUGUCUGACUUUUCGGAAAAAAAAGGUUCAUCCUGCUCAUCUACACUCAGGUGCAUAUUCAAUGCGGGACUCGGGUGUGUGAAGUCGUUGCAUAUUCUGACCAGCAGUCACCUUAGAAUAGAACCCAUGGAGGUGUUUGUGGCUCCUGUUUUCAAAAGACUUGCUGAGAAGAAAUUCCAUGCAGUGACGCUUGUCGUCAGUUGCCAGUGAACCAAGUGCAUCUUUGCGCCUGUAAAUCGGUAAAUGAUGCAUAUGAUGAACUCUAUGGUUAUAACAAACAAACAAAUUCAAGCAAUGAUGGAUUCACAUAUAAGUUCCAGAAGGAAGAUCAGCUAUACAAGUCAUAUGUCUUGGAGCAUCUCUGGAUAUGACAUAGCUUCAGAUAAGAAGACAAUGGGAAUGAGUAAUCUUGCGGCUACUGCUGGGACGCAAAAAGCCACCAAAUCUUGCUGUUUGAUUGAAGGAAGAAUUAUCCAGAGAGGAUAAAAGGAGAUUGGGAAAUGAGCAGUGACUUGAAGUAGAAGAAAUUAAAAUGCUUUAUUUUUUAAGGGUGUUGGGAGGUGUGUAUAUGUAACUGGUGUUCACUUGAAGUAGAAGAACUCCCUAACACCCUUUAUUAUCACUAGGCAGCAAGUACUUGUGGCCGAUGGUACCAAUAACUUGAGUUUGAAACUCGGCUAUUUCUUUGACGAUCAAAAAAUAAAAUAAUAGUAGAAUUCAUUUCCAA